rnacentral:rRNA from 1 species
GACAGCAGUCGCCGCGGGAAUACGAAGGGGGCUAGCGUUGUUCGGAUUUACUGGGCGUAAAGGGUGCGUAGGCGGAUUGUUAAGUCAGGGGUGAAAUCCCGAGGCUCAACCUCGGAACUGCCUUUGAUACUGGCGAUCUUGAGUCCGGGAGAGGUGAGUGGAACUGCGAGUGUAGAGGUGAAAUUCGUAGAUAUUCGCAAGAACACCGGUGGCGAAGGCGGCUCACUGGCCCGGUACUGACGCUGAGGCACGAAAGCGUGGUGAGCAAACAGGAUUAGAUACCCCAGUAGUCCCUGUCUCUUAUAA